AGGCAGUAGCAUCGUUUCACAAUGUUUCAAUCACCAUCAUCAGUGGAUGCCUUUGCCGUCCGUACCCUGAGAUUUCAGAUUUGCAGCAAAAACUUGACUUUCCCAUUUAUUGGAAUGCUGUGCAGGUUGUACCUUGCAGCCAUCCAUUACAAUGUCACCAAGCCGUAACAAAAGCAGGAGAGGGAAAGUACAAGGCUAUGUUCCCAAAACACACAAGUGACAUACCUUAUGUGGAUGAUGUGAUCAGGCUUGUGUUUGAUGAGGUAUUUGAAGAUAAGCUGAAGGAAACCCCGAUUCCAAUGGACCUGGCAUCACAGUUUGAGAGACCUUCAAAAGAGGACGUGAUUGCAUGCCAUCUUC